GGUAGCAUAAUAAUUUGCCUUAUAAUUUAAGGCUAGCAUGAACGGAUUUACGAGGAAUUAGCUGUCUCUACUAGUUGACUAUAACUUACACUUCAGGUGAAGAUUCCUGAGUAAAAUUAAAGGACAAAAAGACCCUAUAAAGCUUCACCGAAAUUUUUGACAUACAAAAAUAAAAAAAAAAAAUUGGUUUUGUUGGGGCGACAAAGGAACUGCUUAUCUUCCUUAACUAUUACGAUUUUUAGAUCUUUAUAAAGAACACUUCUGUAUUUAAAGCAAAAGCUACUUUAGGGAUAACAGGCUAAUUUUUCUAGCGAGUUCAAAUCGACAGAAAAGAUUGGCACCUCGAUGUUGGCUUAGGACGAUUUUUGGCGCAGCAGCCAUAAUAAUCKGGUUUGUUCAACCAUUAAACUCCUACA
rnacentral:rRNA from 1 species